rnacentral:misc_RNA from 1 species
GAUGAAGAACGUAGCGAAAUGCGAUAAGUAAUGUGAAUUGCAGAAUUCAGCGAAUCAUCGAAUCUUUGAACGCACAUUGCGCCCGCUAGUAUUCUGGCGGGCAUGCCUGUUCGAGCGUCAUUUCAACCCUCAAGCACAGCUUGGUGUUGGGACUCGCGUUAAUUCGCGUUCCCCAAAUUGAUUGGCGGUCACGUCGAGCUUCCAUAGCGUAGUAGUAAAACCCUCGUUACUGGUAAUCGUCGCGGCCACGCCGUUAAACCCCAACUUCUGAAUGUUGACCUCGGAUCAGGUAGGAAUACCCGCUGAACUUAAGCAUAUCAAUAAGCGGAGGA